rnacentral:lncRNA from 1 species
GUAACAUGGUGCAUUGGUGGAGGGAAGAGGACAACUUGCAGUAGCUGGUUUUCUCCCUUCACCAUUUGUGUUCUAAGGUGGGUACUCAGGCUUAGUGGCAAGUGCCUUUACCCCCUGAGCUCCUCUCCAGCCCCUCCCUAUUCAGAACUUUGGAGGUUAAGAGGAAAGGUUCAAGCACUGAACAAUGAUGUUUUUGUGUGGUGCUUUAGGCCAGGUCCUGUAUCAUCUUUGCUUCUCUUCCUGAAAGGUAGCCCUCUUCAUCUGCAAGUGAUAAAUGACCCACAAAGUGCCUUACAGAAACUGAUGGGGAGCACCAAGGCAGGGACCCAUGUUUGGUCCAAUCAGAAUCUCAAUGACCAGGUCCUUGCAGCAUCUGAGAUGUUGAGUCCCGUAAGUUGUUUUUCUGGGUUAUUUUGUCACAGGGAUGUAAAAGUCAGUGCACUAAUCUCUGAAUAUGGUACCAGAGAGUUACUUCAUGGUUGUGUAGGAAGGUUCCUGGGAAGGUCAUCAGUAUUGUGUUUUCAUGAGAAUUAUCCAGAUGUGCACUUGAACAACUCCAAAGGACACAGGUUAGGAAACCAGUUUCUCCUUCUCCCAUUGAGACUUUGGUGUCAACACCUUCUCUUUACUCAUGUAACUAAGGGGCUACUUUCUAGCUGGUGACAAUCUUUUCAGGGUCUCAUACAGCUCUUGCUACAUGUGACAGACUUUUACUCU